UACGUAGGGUGCGAGCGUUAAUCGGAAUUACUGGGCGUAAAGGGUGCGUAGGUGGCUUGAUAAGCAGGGUGUGAAAUCCCUCGGCUCAACCGAGGAACUGCGCUCUGAACUGUCGGGCUAGAGUAUGCUAGAGGUGAAUGGAACAUCCAGUGGAGCGGUGAAAUGUGUUGAUAUUGGAUGGAACACCAGAGGCGAAGGCGAUUCACUGGGGCAUAACUGACACUGAGGCACGAAAGCCAGGGGAGCAAACAGG
rnacentral:rRNA from 1 species